CACAGGGCUCCUCUCUGCCGUGUUAUCAGCACUGCUUGUGGUGCCCUCAUUUUUAUGCAGUGUACACGUCCUUGUAAGGAUGGCUGGAAUACAGCAUUCAGAGCAAGACUUGUGUUCUUCCCCAGAUCGCACAUCAUGAAGUUACAUUUCCUUAGGCACAGCUUCCCUUGUUCGGGAACAACCAGUUUGGCAUUGCAUUCAUUCUAAUGUCCAUGGGAAUGCAAUUAUGCAUCCAGCUCUCUGAAAUCCUCAGGGAACUCAGGACAAUCUGUAUUAGGGACCCUCGCUGGCUUCUCAUGGACUCCCUUGGGUCACUCUCAUGUCCCUCUGCCACCCGGUGUGUGAGGAGCUGUGUAUAACAGGACAGGGCUGAGAGAUGUAUGUGCUGCUGCUUGUGAGCAGUUUUGAAGAACUAGAUCGAGUAGACCUUCUAUUUGACUUUCAUGGAGGAUGAAACCCUUUAUCUUCUGCACAAAUUACCCCACCUUGCCUGACCCCAGUGCCUGAGCUGUACCUUGAGCAAAUGGAAAUCCCAAAAGUGCUCAGUGCUGUCACAACUCUGC
rnacentral:lncRNA from 1 species